ensembl:lncRNA
CACACUACCUAUGAAGAAGAAGUUAUACAAAUCUAAAUUUCACUAGAUGAACACGUAGGAAUAUACACUGGACUCAUAACAUUGCCAGUUAUUGCAGUUAACCAUUAUAACAGGUUGGGGAGACAUUUCUUAAAACCUCUUCAAUGCAGAACCUUUAAAUUGAACAUGAAUAUCUUUUUGAAAGGUACACUGAGCAUUCAACCAUGAGCUGAAUUUGACUCAAGAAUUACUGAAAUAAAUGCUAUUUCUUCUUUGGCAAUAAUAUCAAACCCCAUUCACAAAAUGGCUGAUUCUGAUUUAAAUCUCUGUGAGCUUACUUGUGUCCUGGGCACAUGUAAAGAGACAGAAUAAAAGUGUAUGUUGAAGAAAGUCUCACAGACACACAGAUAUCAGAAAGAAAACAAACAAACAAACAAACAACACAUUAAAUACAUUACAUUGUUGGAAAUCAGCAAACUCAAACACAAUAAGAGGUCUAACCAAAUACAAGGGAAAAGUUAUUGCUAUAAUACUAUGAUUUAAUAUGUUAUUUAUUUUGUUUGCAAGCAGAUAAAGUUGUUUUCAUAAAUUAUACUUGAGAAUAUCUGAAAGAUCCCCAAAAUAAACACAGACUAUUAGCUUCAAGGAGCAAAAGACAGAUCUGAUCUAAUUUAUUUCCUUUAUCUUAAUUCUGAUGAGGAGUGUAAAAGAAAAAAGUGCAAUGUCUAAUUAAGAGCAGUUGUGCUCUAGCAAUUCAGUAUAGUGCUGCUGUAUUAAGAUUAAAUAAAUAAAUAAAUAAAUUAGCUGCUGAUCCACGUUGUCCAUAUUCCAGCAGUGUAUAAAAAUAUGUGUGGCCAUUAAAGGUUUCAGUAACUUGCUGGUGAGAUAGCAUGUGGGGAUCAUUAACUGUGCAAAGGAAUUAUGGUUUAGUUUUUCCAAAGAGAAAAGGAGGGGGUUUGAAGGUCAUACUUUUCUACUCAUCUAUCAUUAAUGCACAUAAUAUAUUUGGUACUUGACUAUAAAUAAUUUUAGAAUAUCUUUUGUUAUAUGCAUUUUAGUAUAUGAUUUCUUCAUCUAAAAUACAGAUUUUGUCUAUGAAAAAUCCUGGUGGUGAUGUUUUUACCCAAGGUAAAAGAAAUUGUAUAUACUGCUG